rnacentral:tRNA from 1 species
UUAAUUGAAGCCAAAAAUAGAGGCUUAUCACUGUUAAUGAUAUAAUUGAAUUAUAAAAUUCCAAUUAAG